GGUAGACAGCAGUGGGACCGGGCGGUAUGCCCAUCCAGCCUCCGGCCUUCUCCGCGUUUUGGAAGUCCGCAGCCAACCAGAAAGGGGCUGCAUGUAGGCGAUAGAAGCCUCCAAACGUUGCAUCGCUGAAACGUUGCUGUCCUCCCGCUCUUGCCGUCCACGAAAUCUGCUGCUCAUCAUGGAGGCCGAAUAGGACCCGGAAAAUCACUUCUCAGGCCCUUGGCCCGGUCUGAUGCACUGGGGGGGGGGCACCCGGAUCCAACUCAGAGGCUGGAAUGCAAAACGGAGGGGCUGAGCUUGAUGUAGUGUCCUUCUCAUCCCCAGACCUCUGCUUCUCCACCUUUUUGUGGCUGGCCAUCUGUAAUCCCAAAUCUGACACCAGGCGGGUCCUUCAUGGAAAUAAAGCAAGCAGAGGAGCCAAGAUUCCUUGCUGGAAAUCCGGCACUUGUUCAGGAAAAUGAACUGGACCUCAAUUACACAAAGAACAGAACAAAGACGUUACUGGUGUAGCACUACGUCCAGUCAGAAUCCUGAAAGAUGGCAGAGCAAGGGGGGUUUGGAAGUUCAACGCUUCCCAAUGAGUCAAUUUCUAAACUACUUCAGGAAGAUCUUCAACCUUGCAUCAAGCCUGGCCUGGGACACGGGAAGUGACUUUUUGGAGUCCGAUUCGCCGUCCAUGAUGAGCAGCAGACUACAUGGACAGCAAGAGCACAAAGGAAGCAUCAUUUCUGAGGUGAGUCGGAAAUGGAAGCUUUUCCAUUUCCAACUCACUCAAGUUCAUCUCAUCCGUGGUGCGGUUUAUCCUCUGAGGAAGAGGGGGUGGAAUCGGGUGCCACCCCCCAGUGCAUCAGACCGGGCCAAGGGCCCGGGAAGUGACUUUUCGGCGUCCGAUUUGGCGUCCAUGAUGAGCUGCACAUUUCGUGGACGGCAAGAGCGGGAGGACAGCAACGUUCCAGCAGUUCAACAUUUGGAAGAAUCUAUCCCCAACUUGCAGCCCCUUUCUG